UACGGAGGAUGCAAGCGUUAUCCGGAAUGAUUGGGCGUAAAGCGUCCGCAGGUGGCUGUGUAAGUCUGCUGUCAAAGAGCGAAGCUCAACUUCGUAAAGGCAGUGGAAACUACACGGCUAGAGUGCGUUCGGGGCAGAGGGAAUUCCUGGUGUAGCGGUGAAAUGCGCAGAUAUCAGGAGGAACACCGAUGGCGAAGGCAGCUCGCUGGGACGGUACUGACGCUGAGGCGCGAAAGCCAGGGGAGCGAACGGG
rnacentral:rRNA from 1 species